UACGUAGGGGACAAGCGUUGUCCGGAAUUAUUGGGCGUAAAGGGCUCGUAGGCGGUUUGUCGCGUCGGGAGUGAAAACUCAGGGCUUAACCCUGAGCCUGCUUCCGAUACGGGCAGACUAGAGGUAUGCAGGGGAGAACGGAAUUCCUGGUGUAGCGGUGAAAUGCGCAGAUAUCAGGAGGAACACCGGUGGCGAAGGCGGUUCUCUGGGCAUGAUCUGACGCUGAGGAGCGAAAGUGUGGGGAGCGAACAGG
rnacentral:rRNA from 1 species